rnacentral:rRNA from 1 species
AGUUGCAGGCAUUAGACCCGAAACCCGGCGAUCUACCCAUGGCCAGGUUGAAGAUUGAGUAACAUCAAUUGGAGGACCGAACCCACGUAUGUUGAAAAAUGCGGGGAUGAGCUGUGGGUCGGAGUGAAAGGCUAAUCAAGCCGGGAGAUAGCUGGUUCUCCUCGAAAUCUAUUUAGGUAGAGCGUCAUGUCUUACCCGCGGGGGUAGAGCACUGUUUGGGCUAGGGGGUCAUCCCGACUUACCAACCCCAUGCAAACUCCGAAUACCGCGGAGUACAAUCAUGGCAGACACACGGCGGGUGCUAACGUCCGUCGUGGAGAGGGCAACAACCCAGACCGCCAGCUAAGGUCCCUAAAUACUAUUAAGUGGGAAACGAUGUGGGAAGGCUCAGACAGCUAGGAGGUUGGCUUAGAAGCAGCCAUCCUUUAAAGAAAGCGUAAUAGCUCACUAGUCGAGUCGGCCUGCGCGGAAGAUUUAACGGGGCUAAAUAGUAUACCGAAGCUGCGGAUGCACUUUGUGCAUGGUAGAGGAGCGUUCUGUAAGCCUGCGAAGGUGAACUGAGAAGUUUGCUGGAGGUAUCAGAAGUGCGAAUGCUGACAUGAGUAACGAUAAAGGGAGUGAAAAACUCCCUCGCCGGAAGACCAAGGUUUCCUGCCCCAUGCUAAUCAGGGCAGGGUUAGUCGGCCCCUAAGGUGAGGCUGAAGAGCGUAAUCGAUGGGAAACAGAUUAAUAUUUCUGUACUUCUUAUAACUGCGAUGGAGGGACGGAGUAGGCUAGGCUAGCGCGGCGAUGGUUGUCCGCGUUUAAGGUUGUAGGCUGGUGACUUAGGUAAAUCCGGGUCGCUAAGGCUGAGAGCUGAUGACGAGUGAUCUUUUACGAUCGCGAAGUAGUUGAUGCCAUGCUUCCAAGAAAAGCUUCUAAGCUUCAGGUUAUGAGGAACCGUACCCCAAACCGACACAGGUGGUCAGGUAGAGAAUACCAAGGCGCUUGAGAGAACACUGGUGAAGGAACUAGGCAAAAUGGUACCGUAACUUCGGGAGAAGGUACGCUCCCUUUGGUGAUCGAAUUUACUUCGUAAGCUGAGGGGAGUCGAAGUGACCAGGUGGCUGCAACUGUUUAUUAAAAACAUAGCACUCUGCAAACACGUAAGUGGACGUAUAGGGUGUGACGCCUGCCCGGUGCCGGAAGGUUAAUUGAUGGGGUUAUCUUCGGAGAAGCUCUUGAUCGAAGCCCCGGUAAACGGCGGCCGUAACUAUAACGGUCCUAAGGUAGCGAAAUUCCUUGUCGGGUAAGUUCCGACCUGCACGAAUGGCGUAAUGAUGGCCACGCUGUCUCCACCAGUGACUCAGUGAAAUUGAAAUUGCGGUUAAGAUGCCGUAUACCCGCGGCUAGACGGAAAGACCCCGUGAACCUUUACUAUAGCUUCGCAGUGGACUUUGAAAUGUUUUGUGUAGGAUAGCUGGGAGGCUUUGAAACCGUGUCGCCAGAUACGGUGGAGCCAAUCUUGAAAUACCAGCCUGAUCAUUUUGAGGUUCUAACCUAGGUCCAUUAUCUGGAUCGGGGACAUUGUGUGGUGGGUAGUUUGACUGGGGCGGUCUCCUCCCAAAGAGUAACGGAGGAGUACGAAGGUGCACUAAUCACGGUCGGAAAUCGUGAGGUUAGUAUAAUGGUACAAGUGCGCUUGACUGCGAGACUGACAAGUCGAGCAGGUACGAAAGUAGGUCAUAGUGAUCCGGUGGUUCUGUAUGGAAGGGCCAUCGCUCAACGGAUAAAAGGUACUCCGGGGAUAACAGGCUGAUACCGCCCAAGAGUUCACAUCGACGGCGGUGUUUGGCACCUCGAUGUCGGCUCAUCACAUCCUGGGGCUGAAGCCGGUCCCAAGGGUAUGGCUGUUCGCCAUUUAAAGUGGUACGCGAGCUGGGUUUAGAACGUCGUGAGACAGUUCGGUCCCUAUCUGCCGUGGGCGUUAGAAAAUUGAGAAGAGCUGCUCCUAGUACGAGAGGACCGGAGUGGACGAACCCCUGGUGUUCCGGUUGUAUCGCCAGAUGCAUUGCCGGGUAGCUACGUUCGGACAGGAUAACCGCUGAAAGCAUCUAAGCGGGAAGCCCCCUUCAAGAUAAGUUUUCUCUGAGACUUUAAGUCUCCUGUAGGGCCGUUGAAGACUACAACGUUGAUAGGCUGGGUGUGUAAGCGUUGUGAGGCGUUGAGCUAACCAGUACUAAUUGCCCGUGAGGCUUGACCAU